AUAAUUAUUCACUGAAUUCAAUGUUGGAGAGCUAUUUGCAAGGUACCUAAUUGUUUGAUUAUUGAUUCUCAAUUGGUCCCCUCCAAGUAGCUCUAUUGCAUUGUUUGCUUAUUUUCCCCCGAA
rnacentral:pre_miRNA from 15 species